rnacentral:ncRNA from 1 species
UUACACAUGCAAGCCUCCACAUCCCAGUGCCUAAAACCAAGUAACUACCACAUACCACGGAAUCGGGCAUCAGGCACAACCACACAGCCCACAACGCCCUGCACAGCCACACUUACACAGGACCCAGCAGUGAUAUAUAUUAAACCAUGGAAACAAUCCGAUUCAGUUAUGACCAAGCUUAGGGCCGGUAAAUUUCGUGCCAGCCACCGCGGUUACACGAAAGGCCCAAGUCAACCAAAAUCUUCGGCGUAAAGCGUGACUCAGACCUCAGCCAUAAAAUGAAGAAAAAACUACAUUAACAGCAGUAAAAUGCCCGUAAAUGCAAGAAUCACAAAAACCACUUCAUACUUUUAGCCUAUCCCACUCACGAAAGUCAGGACACAAACUGGGAUUAGAUACCCUACUAUGCCCGACCAUAAACACUGAUUAUAAAACACAAAUAAUCCGCCAGAGAACUACAAGUGCAAAACCAAAAACUCCAAGGACUUGACGGUGUUUCACACAACCUAGAGGAGCCUGUCCUAUAAUCGAUACCCCACGUUACACCCAACCUUACCUUGAUUAACAUCAACCUAUAUACCGCCGUCGUCAGUUCGCCUCUUGAGAGCAAACCCCAGCGAACAAAAUACUCUAAACCACUAGCACGUCAGGUCAAGGUGUAGUUUAUGAUAAGGCAGAGAUGGGCUACAUUCCCUAACCACGGGCAUACCAACAGCAACAUGAAAUCAUGGGCCACAAGGUGGAUUUAGCAGUAAACCAAGCAAGACUGCUUAUUUGAAGACAGCCCUGAGACGCGUACACACCGCCCGUCACCCUCAUC